rnacentral:rRNA from 1 species
AUUGAACGCUGGCGGCAUGCCUUACACAUGCAAGUCGAACGGCAGCGGGCCCUUCGGGGUGCCGGCGAGUGGCGAACGGGUGAGUAAUGCAUCGGAACGUACCCGGGAGAGGGGGAUAACCGGCCGAAAGGCUGGCUAAUACCGCAUGAACUCGGAAGAGCAAAGCGGGGGACCUUCGGGCCUCGCGCUCUCGGAGCGGCCGAUGUCCGAUUAGGCUAGUUGGUGGGGUAAAGGCCCACCAAGGCGACGAUCGGUAGCGGGUCUGAGAGGACGAUCCGCCACACUGGGACUGAGACACGGCCCAGACUCCUACGGGAGGCAGCAGUGGGGAAUCUUGGACAAUGGGCGCAAGCCUGAUCCAGCAAUGCCGCGUGGGUGAAGAAGGCCUUCGGGUUGUAAAGCCCUUUCGGCGGGGAAGAAAUCGGUCAGGCGAAUAGGCUGGCUGGAUGACGGUACCCGCAGAAGAAGCACCGGCUAACUACGUG